UACGUAGGGGGCUAGCGUUGUCCGGAAUCAUUGGGCGUAAAGCGCGUGUAGGCGGUCCGGUAAGUCCGCUGUGAAAGUCGGGGGCUCAACCCUCGGAAGCCGGUGGAUACUGUCGGGCUAGAGUACGGAAGAGGCGAGUGGAAUUCCUGGUGUAGCGGUGAAAUGCGCAGAUAUCAGGAGGAACACCAAUUGCGAAGGCAGCUCGCUGGGACGUUACUGACGCUGAGACGCGAAAGCGUGGGGAGCAAACAGG
rnacentral:rRNA from 1 species